GAUGAACGCUGGCGGCGUGCUUAAUACAUGCAAGUCGAACGAAGCACCUUGGACAGAAUCCUUCGGGAGGAAGACCAUUGUGACUGAGUGGCGGACGGGUGAGUAACGCGUGGGUAACCUGCCCUAUACAGGGGGACAACAGUUGGAAACGACUGCUAAUACCGCAUAAGCGCACGGUAUCGCAUGAUACAGUGUGAAAAACUCCGGUGGUAUAAGAUGGACCCGCGUCUGAUUAGCUUGUUGGUGAGGUAACGGCCCACCAAGGCGACGAUCGGUAGCCGACCUGAGAGGGUGACCGGCCACAUUGGGACUGAGACACGGCCCAGACUCCUACGGGAGGCAGCAGUGGGGGAUAUUGCACAAUGGGGGAAACCCUGAUGCAGCGACGCCGCGUGAGGGAAGACGGUCCUCUGGAUUGUAAACCUCUGUCUUCGGGGACGAAACGAGACGGUACCUGAGGAGGAAGCCACGGCUAACUACGUG
rnacentral:rRNA from 1 species